rnacentral:lncRNA from 1 species
ACCCGCGUAUCCUUCACCGGAACAUAAGCUCAAAAUGUAUAUUGUUAGACGGUGAAUUCGAGGCAAGAAUUUCCGAUUUUGGGUUGGCCAGACUGAUGAACCCGGUGGAUACCCACCUGAGUACUUUUGUGAAUGGAGAGUUCGGGGAUAUCGGGUACGUAGCACCCGAAUACGCCCGAACUCUCGUGGCCACCCCGAAGGGUGAUGUGUACAGCUUCGGGGUGGUGCUUCUUGAGUUGGUAACGGGUGAAAGACCGACGCAUGUGUCUAAAGCUCCGGAAAGCUUUAAAGG